UACGUAGGGUGCGAGCGUUAAUCGGAAUUACUGGGCGUAAAGCGUGCGCAGGCGGUUAUGUAAGACAGGUGUGAAAUCCCCGGGCUUAGCCUGGGAACUGCAUUUGUGACUGCAUAGCUAGAGUACGGUAGAGGGGGAUGGAAUUCCGCGUGUAGCAGUGAAAUGCGUAGAUAUGCGGAGGAACACCGAUGGCGAAGGCAAUCCCCUGGACCUGUACUGACGCUCAUGCACGAAAGCGUGGGGAGCAAACAGG
rnacentral:rRNA from 1 species